GGGACGGGGGGUGUCCCGCGCAACACCGUCGGCUGGUGGCCGACGGUACCGAAGCCGCUGCCGGUUCGACCCGGGCUGUCGCCCC
rnacentral:tRNA from 1 species